rnacentral:RNase_P_RNA from 1 species
UGAGCCGGUUAGAUGGUCGCCUUUUCGAUUUUCGAAAGGGAGGAAAGUCCGAGCACCGCAGGACAGGGUGCCUCGUAAUACGAGGGGCUCGGAAGGGCAUGGAAAGUGCAACAGAGAGAAGACUAUCCGUCAUUGGCGGAUACAGGUGAAACGGUGGUGUAAAAGACCACCAGCUUCGGCAGUAACGCCGAAGGCUUGGUAAACCCCGCCCGGUGCAAGAUCAAGUAAGCUCCGAAAUGUGGUCCGCAUUAUUUGAGGAGUGGGUAGAUCGCGAGAUCCUGAUAGAAAUGUCAGGACCAGAUGAAUGGCCAUCCGCGACAGAACUCGGCUUAUCGACCGGCUCUAUAU